GUCCAGCCGCAAUCAAUGCCAUUGAAACUGAGAGAAACCAGACAGGCAGAAGUUUGAUUAUAAAGUGAAUUACCGGUACCUGGCACCAUGCUGAAGUUUAUCUGUUUACUUGUGUGUUUGGCAGCCUGCACUUUAGCUUUCCCCACAUUGUUGGGGAAAUUCGUAGACUGUAGUGUAGAUAUCCGCACAGACUGCGACAAGCUCAACAUGGAUGGCGAUUGCUCUGCAGUUUUCUACCAGAUCAGUUGCGCCAAAACAUGCAACGCCUGCUUUAAAUAAAAAGAAACAGGCCGUCACGUGACUACAUCAUCGCAACGCUGGACAGUGGUCAUUUCAGGACAACUCAAGGUCUUGAAUCAAUUCAAAUUAAAAACCUUUGAUCUCAAAUAAUGUUUUAUAUUUGCAUAUGUGUAGAAAUUUUGUUUUUGUUCGGUCAUAAUAGAGAAAUUUGAGUCACUGUAUAAUAAAAAAACAUUAUCACAGAUGUAAAGUUGGUGAAUACAUCAACGCAUGAAUGUACAAUAAACAAUUCAAAACAUAAUUAAAA
rnacentral:sRNA from 1 species